AAGAAGCGGAACUACCCGCCGGUCGCCGGCACCAUCUUCCACCAAUUCUGGAACCUCCACCGGCUUCUUGAUUACCAGACCGAUCUCUCUCGCAAGUACAAGACCUUCAGGAUCCUCACCCCCUUCUGUAACUAUGUCUAUACAGUCGACCCGGCCAACAUCGAGUACAUGCUCAAGACCAACUUCGCAAAUUUCGGCAAGGGUGCCUUCAAUUACGAUGUCAUGAGCGACCUACUCGGUGACGGAAUAUUUGCGGUAGAUGGUGACAAGUGGCGACACCAGAGGAAAAUAGCCAGCUACGAGUUCUCAGCAAAGGUGUUGCGAGACUACAGUAGUUUUGUGUUCAGGAGCAAAGCUGUGAAACUAGCUGAGAGGGUCUUAGAGGCUGCG
rnacentral:misc_RNA from 1 species